rfam:Rattus norvegicus chromosome X, whole genome shotgun sequence.
GGGGAUUUAGCUCAGUGGUAGAGCACUUGCCUAGCAAGCUCAAGGCCCUGGGUUCAGUCCCCA